CAACAAAAAAGAGAAUAACUAUGCACUGUUUCUAUAAGAAAAUUGUAUAAGAACAUGUGUUACACAAAAAUUUUAUUGUCUAACAUUUUUGCAGUUGCACAGGUCACAUGUUACAGAUAGAUAAGGUGCCCACAUGAUAGAACAAAAAAAACUAAGGAGCACACAAGCCUUUGUUUUCUCCCUAACAGAUUGACUGCUUUACUUGCGAUGAUAGCAUGCAGAACUUUGUGUUUGUUGAUCCCUUUAACUGUCAAAAACGCUCUCAUGUUAUGGGAGGGAGUAUCAAUGUACUCGUGAUCGCCUGACUGGUAAAGCAACAAACAGGCCAGUAGAACAUCACGGCUAAUACAGCGGCAGACCACACAGUGCGGGAAACUACAAUGGCCAAUUCUAAAACCUUGUGGUUAAUAGAUAAACACACAUCCAUGAUGAUCCAAUACAAUAGGAUAAAAUCGACACGCUGAGGGAACUAAUGGCUUUUCAGCUAAUAACAUACAGCACAUGACAACAGCGCAGCGGGUACCUUUGUUCACUACAACUAGAUAGGAAGUGCGGCUUGCCGCACCCCACCCGCCCAGCCACAUCCAACCUGGUAUAUGACGUUUUUUAUUUCAUACGUUUAUACGAUGAAAGGCAAUAGUGUAACGGUUCAGUAUGUUAUAGCAAAAGUGCAAGGUUCAAUAGGUCACGACAAUUUGUUUACAAAUAUAUAUUACACAAGGCAACAAAAAAGAGAAUAACUAUGCACUGUUUCUAUAAGCAAAUUGUAUAAGAACAUGUGUUACACAAAAAUUUUAUUGUCUAACAUUUUUGCAGUUGCACAGGUCACAUGUUACAGAUAGAUAAGGUGCCCACAUGAUAGAACAAAAAAAACUAAGGAGCACACAAGCCUUUGUUUUCUCCCUAACAGAUUGACUGCUUUACUUGCGAUGAUAGCAUGCAGAACUUUGUGUUUGUUGAUGGUGGAACUUGCACAAGUAACUCCACAUUUAGUCCGACAAAAUGAUGGCAGCUUCCAUGGAGCCGCCAGACCUGAGAAGCACAAAGAAUGAAAACAUGAGUAAACUGAAGAUGUCAUGAACAUAAAUUUGUCAAAAGUGCAGGAUCAAUGCACAAUAUUUAUCAAACUGAAACAUGCUAAUUGGUUUGGAAGUACAACAUGCACUUGAUUUUAUGUGUAAAAAAGGAGUGCUUACAUGAUUAAUGGUGGAUGUAAGUGUGAAGGAGGCAAUGUAACUACAAUCAUCUAUGAUGAUGCCUUCACAACAAUAAAAAUACUCAGCAAGACCUGGAGACUCACAUAAGGGCAUAAUCUCCAUAAGAAACUUGAUUUUCAGUAGGAAGCGCCAAAACUCAAAUCAAUGCAUAAUAUAUUAAUAGUGGUUCAGUAUAAAGCAGCAAUUUAGGGGCAAGCACAAUAUAGAUAUGAUUCAGUACAAAGUACUCCCUCCGUCCCAAAAUAAGUGUCUCCGUGAGAUUUUAAAUUGGGUUAACGGGUUAAGCAUCUUUUAAGUUGAAUGAUAGUAUGAUGCCAAACAGAACAUGUUUGUUAGAAUGCAUAUUGAAUAGUACAAACUGAAUUUCAACUUGGACCAUCCGAUGUUAACACAUAUAAUAUUUUUCGACUUGCAAUAUAAUUGUACCAAACCACAAGUAUUUUUCGAUUUGGAUAUACAUGGGACCAAAAAAUGUAACUAAAACUGCAACAUGAUAUGACAACUACCACAACCAAAAAGAGAGCACGG
rnacentral:lncRNA from 1 species